CGGCGGACGGGUGAGUAACACGUGGGUAACCUGCCCAUAAGACUGGGAUAACUCCGGGAAACCGGGGCUAAUACCGGAUAACAUUUUGAACUGCAUGGUUCGAAAUUGAAAGGCGGCUUCGGCUGUCACUUAUGGAUGGACCCGCGUCGCAUUAGCUAGUUGGUGAGGUAACGGCUCACCAAGGCAACGAUGCGUAGCCGACCUGAGAGGGUGAUCGGCCACACUGGGACUGAGACACGGCCCAGACUCCUACGGGAGGCAGCAGUAGGGAAUCUUCCGCAAUGGACGAAAGUCUGACGGAGCAACGCCGCGUGAGUGAUGAAGGCUUUCGGGUCGUAAAACUCUGUUGUUAGGGAAGAACAAGUGCUAGUUGAAUAAGCUGGCACCUUGACGGUACCUAACCAGAAAGCCACGGCUAACUACGUGCCAGCAGCCGCGGUAAUACGUAGGUGGCAAGCGUUAUCCGGAAUUAUUGGGCGUAAAGCGCGCGCAGGUGGUUUCUUAAGUCUGAUGUGAAAGCCCACGGCUCAACCGUGGAGGGUCA
rnacentral:rRNA from 1 species